UGGUAGGAUAAUUUACAGAGUCAAGCCUUC
rnacentral:piRNA from 1 species